CGCUCCACCCUGACCAAAACCCUACCCGCCGGGGGCCAGCUCCGUCGCGGCGUUGCGGGGAGGCAGAGGCGCGAGGCGAACAUCAACAGCGACUCCGCCGUCCUUCCCGCUCGACGAUGCGUGGGGGGCCACGGGUCUGUGUAUUGGCACGGGCCUUUCCUAAAUUAAGGAUAAGGUCCAAUAAAUCUGCUGCUGUAAUUUGGUGCUUUAAGAUUCUAGCAUUGCCCCAAUUUCUUUCUACAACUUGGAAGCUAAUAUCUUCAAAAUUAAUCUACUUUGAAUAUUAGUGCCAGCUGAAUUUGAAUGCCAUUGUGACGGUCCACUUCAUGUAUGUCUUAAAAGUAUCUGCAAAGGGGGAAGAGAACAGAGAUAGACGAUAUGAAACUCUGCUUGCAUUUCUUUAUGCAGCCCAUACUGAUUCUAAUCUACUUCUCUGUCUUACAAUUUUUUUUUAAGGAAACAGCAGUGUGCUGCCUAUGCAUUAAGAAGGAAGAGUUUUACAGGAGAGCUGUAAAAUAAUUAUAAGAAGCUGAUACCCUUAAUCAGCUUGAAUCCAAUUUGAGCUUGAAGGAAGCUGAUACUUGGCCUGCCGAGAAUUUAGCCUCAAGAUGCCUGUGGCCGUGAGAAGGCCGCAACUGAGCUGAGUUGUGCAAGCACUACACUACACCAGAGGACUUUGUCAUUCACUGCUGUGUUGGCCAUUUCUACAGUGUUGAUGGAUAAUUUGAGGCCUGGAAAGGUGGCCACGAGAAGGCACCGGUUGCCUUCUGCGGAAUGGCUUGGACCUCCACCAACCAUCUGCCUGCAGAGUUGCAGAAAUAGUGUGGUCUGCGUGGAGCUGUGGAGACUGUUGUUGUGUUGCAGUAGGUUAAACUGUUAAA